CAGCCGCCGCGGGAAUACGUAGAGCGCAAGCGUUAUCCGGAAUUAUUGGGCGUAAAGAGCUCGUAGGCGGUUUGUCGCGUCUGCCGUGAAAGUCCGGGGCUCAACCCCGGAUCUGCGGUGGGUACGGGCAGACUAGAGUGAUGUAGGGGAGACUGGAAUUCCUGGUGUAGCGGUGAAAUGCGCAGAUAUCAGGAGGAACACCGAUGGCGAAGGCAGGUCUCUGGGCAUUAACUGACGCUGAGGAGCGAAAGCAUGGGGAGCGAACAGGAUUAGAUACCCCUGUAGUCCCUGUCUCUUAUAC
rnacentral:rRNA from 1 species